rnacentral:tRNA from 1 species
ACUUUUUUAGUAUAUAAUUAUAUUUGACUUCCAAUCAAAAGAUCUCCUAUGAGAAAAAGUA